UUGGAGGGCAAGUCUGGUGCCAGCAGCCGCGGUAAUUCCAGCUCCAAUAGCGUAUAUUAAAGUUGUUGCAGUUAAAAAGCUCGUAGUUGAAUUUCGGGAUCAAUAUUUCGGUCAUGCCGUUGGUAUGCACUGUUAUCAUUGAUUUCUCACCUUCUAAAGAACCGUAAUGCCAUUAAUUUGGUGUUACGGGGAAUUAGGACUGUUACCUUGAAAAAAUUAGAGUGUUUAAAGCAGGCUCACGCUUGAAUACAUUAGCAUGGAAUAAUGAAAUAGGACAUCCGAUUCUAUUUUGUUGGUUUCUAGGAUCGAUGUAAUGAUUAAUAGGGAUAGUUGGGGGCAUUAGUAUUCAAUUGUCAGAGGUGAAAUUCUUGGAUUUAUUGAAGACUAACUACUGCGAAGGCAUUUGCCAAGGAUGUUUUCAUUAAUCAAGAACGAUAGUUAGAGGAUCGAAGACGAUCAGAUACCGUCGUAGUCUUAACCAUAAACUAUGCCGACUAGGGAUCGGAUGAUGUUAAUUUUUUAAUGACUCAGGCACCAGACUUGCCCUCCAA
rnacentral:rRNA from 1 species